UGGGGAAUUUUGGACAAUGGGCGCAAGCCUGAUCCAGCCAUGCCGCGUGUGUGAAGAAGGCCUUCGGGUUGUAAAGCACUUUCGGGCGGAACGAAAUCGCGCGGGCGAAUACCCCGCGUGGAUGACGGUACCGCAAGAAGAAGCACCGGCUACCUACGUGCCAGCAGCCGCGGUAAUACGAAGGGUGCGAGCGUUAAUCGGAAUUACUGGGCGUAAAGCGUGCGCAGGUGGCGUCGCAAGUCCGGCGUG
rnacentral:rRNA from 1 species